CCUACGGGAGGCAGCAGUGGGGAAUAUUGCACAAUGGGGGAAACUCUGAUGCAGCGACGCCGCGUGAGUGAAGAAGUAAUUCGUUAUGUAAAGCUCUAUCAGCAGGGAAGAAAAAGACGGUACCUGAGUAAGAAGCCCCGGCUAACUACGUGCCAGCAGCCGCGGUAAUAAGUAGGGGGCAAGCGUUAUCCGGAUUAACUGGGUGUAAAGGUAGCGUAGACGGCUGUGCAAGUCUGGAGUGAAAGGCGGGGGCUCAACCCACGGACUGCUCUGGAAACUGUACGGCUUGUGUGCAGGAGGGGUGAGUGGAAUUCCUAGUGUAGCGGUGAAAUGCGUAGAUAUUAGGAGGAACACCAGUGGCGAAGGCGGCUUGCUGGACUGUAACUGACGUUGAGGCUCGAAAGCGUGGGGAGCAAACAGGAUUAGAUACCCGAGUAGUC
rnacentral:rRNA from 1 species